AGGGGCUAUGUGGGUUAUUAGGAAAUUGCUAUUUUUUUAAUGUUAGGUUCGACUCCUAAUGGUUUCUG
rnacentral:tRNA from 1 species